rnacentral:rRNA from 1 species
UACGUAGGGUCCGAGCGUUGUCCGGAAUUAUUGGGCGUAAAGGGCUCGUAGGCGGUCUGUUGCGUCGGGAGUGAAAACUUACAGCUUAACUGUGAGCGUGCUUCCGAUACGGGCAGACUUGAGGUAUUCAGGGGAGAACGGAAUUCCUGGUGUAGCGGUGAAAUGCGCAGAUAUCAGGAGGAACACCGGUGGCGAAGGCGGUUCUCUAGUACGGUACUGACGCUGAGACGCGAAAGCGUGGGGAGCGAACAGG